GGGCUGGGGCUCAAUGGUAGAGCGCUUGCCUAGCAUGUGUGAGGCACUGGGUUCGAUUCUCAGCACCACA
rnacentral:tRNA from 1 species